UACGGAGGGUGCAAGCGUUAUCCGGAUUCACUGGGUUUAAAGGGUGCGUAGGUGGGUUGGUAAGUCAGUGGUGAAAUCCCCGAGCUUAACUUGGGAACUGCCAUUGAUACUAUCAGUCUUGAAUAUUGUGGAGGUUAGCGGAAUAUGUCAUGUAGCGGUGAAAUGCUUAGAUAUGACAUAGAACACCAAUGGCGAAGGCGGCUCACUGGACCGGUAUUGACGCUGAGGUGCGAAAGCGUGGGGAGCAAACAGG
rnacentral:rRNA from 1 species